rnacentral:rRNA from 1 species
UGUGCCAGCCGCCGCGGUAAUACGUAGGGCGCAAGCGUUAUCCGGAUUUAUUGGGCGUAAAGGGCUCGUAGGCGGCUCGUCGCGUCCGGUGUGAAAGUCCAUCGCUUAACGGUGGAUCUGCGCCGGGUACGGGCGGGCUGGAGCGCGGUAGGGGAGACUGGAAUUCCCGGUGUAACGGUGGAAUGUGUAGAUAUCGGGAAGAACACCGAUGGCGAAGGCAGGUCUCUGGGCCGUCACUGACGCUGAGGAGCGAAAGCGUGGGGAGCGAACAGGAUUAG